UUCCAGACUCCUACGGGAGGCAGCAGUGAGGAAUAUUGGUCAAUGGGCGGGAGCCUGAACAAGCCAAGUCGCGUGAGGGAUGACGGCCCUAUGGGUUGUAAACCUCUUUUGCCGGGGAGCAAAGUGCCGCACGUGUGCGGUUUGGAGAGUACCCGGAGAAAAAGCAUCGGCUAACUCCGUGCCAGCAGCCGCGGUAAUACGGAGGAUGCGAGCGUUAUCCGGAUUUAUUGGGUUUAAAGGGUGCGCAGGCGGAGGUGCAAGUCAGCGGUCAAAUUGCGGGGCUCAACCCCGUACUGCCGUUGAAACUGGGGGCCUUGAGUGGGCGAGAAGAAGGCGGAAUGCGUGGUGUAGCGGUGAAAUGCAUAGAUAUCACGCAGAACCCCGAUUGCGAAGGCAGCCUUCCGGCGCCCUACUGACGCUGAGGCACGAAAGUGCGGGGAUCGAACAGGAUUAGAUACCCCCGUA
rnacentral:rRNA from 1 species